GGGCCCCUGGCGCAGGAGUACGUGGUGGCCCAUGAGUUCGGCCACCACGUGCAGAAUCUCGAGGGGGUGCUGGGCCGCGCCCAGCGGGACCCGC
rnacentral:tRNA from 1 species